GGUUUCAUGGUGUAGUUGGUUAUCACGCGACCUUAACACGGUCGAGGUCUUGAGUUCGAUCCUCAAUGAAAUCA
rnacentral:tRNA from 2 species